UCUACUCGACCGUCAAAUCUCUCUCCUUUAGAUAGUCCUUUUCAUCCCUUUCCUUUUCAUCAUCUCCACCAACUCAUUGCACUCCCUGUUCCAACCCUCUACAUUUUCCAUGGCCAAGUCCUCCAAAAACCCUUCUACCUCUUCCAGAAAAAGUACUCGAUCUAAAAUAAAACCCUCCUCCGCUCCUCCUGAGCAAGUAGACCUAGGGUCUAACCGGUCUGAGGAGUGUGCCUCUUCCCAAGGUGCGUAUUCCGAACACUCCCUGCUGUUAGGUGACAAAGCCGCUGGUAAGCAUCCCAUGGAUGAUCCCCUGUCUCCACUCCAAAGAAAACCAAGUUUGAUUUCUCUGCUUCUCUUACAUUCAGCCUAAUUUUUUGGGAUUCCCCUAAUAGGGAUUUCUUUAUUACUCUCAAAGACAAG
rnacentral:lncRNA from 1 species